UACGGAGGGAGCUAGCGUUGUUCGGAAUUACUGGGCGUAAAGCGCGCGUAGGCGGCCUUGCAAGUUAGAGGUGAAAGCCCGGAGCUCAACUCCGGAACUGCCUUUAAAACUGCAUAGCUUGAAUCCGGGAGAGGUGAGUGGAAUUCCCGGUGUAGCGGUGAAAUGCGCAGAUAUCGGGAAGAACACCCGUGGCGAAGGCGGCUCUCUGGGACGGUACUGACGCUGAGACGCGAAAGCGUGGGGAGCGAACAGG
rnacentral:rRNA from 1 species